rnacentral:lncRNA from 1 species
GGAGGACAGAGGUUUUCAGGGGGCUGCUACCAGUCCCACUGCUUGAUGAGCAGCCAGCCAUGGAAAGCGCCUCUCGCACAAUUUUCUCAUUCUCACUGACUCGAGAGUUUCAGAAAAACAUCUGGGCUGCAUGACAUCAACCCAUCAUUGUUAUCACGGCCAUUGUCAGGGUCACAUUGUCACCACUGCCUCCGUGAGACCUGUGGUGGGAGCUGAUAUGAUCUUUGAGUCCAUCAAGGCCAAAGUCGCCCAGACUUCCUGCUGUUGAAGAUCAGAGGACUUGGCUAUGCAAAGAGCGCUGCCUGGGUUCGAAUGCUGGCUUGUUCUACCAGCUGCCCAGGACACCUACAGCACUGCAGCAGGUGUGGCGUAACCUGCUGCCAUGUAGAAUUGAGGACAUCGUAUUUUCAUGAGGUACCCCAAGCAGCCACCCACCUCCUUCCUUCGUCAUAUUCUCCCACUGGAUGGGUGCGGAGUAAGGGCAGUUGGGGCGUGCAGCUUUAUGAGGCUGGAAAAUCUUGCUGUGCUUUCAGAGAGCCAAGUCUUAUCUCUCCGGGAGGUGCAUGGUGUGGGCCACUCACUGGGGGACAGGCCAGUGGGUUGGCUGCAGGACAAAGCUAUUUGGAUCCUGAGAAUCCAAUGACAACUCCACAGAAUCACGUGGAGGGUUCACUAUGA